GUUUUUGCCACCUUAAAACCUUCAUGAUAUCUAAAAUACUUGCACUAUUGUUUAUACUCAUUAUAUCUCAAGGACAUUUAUAAAUAGAAAAUUAAUUGCAUAGGGAAAAAGCCCUAUUAGUAUGUGUUAUGUUAUCUGUAUCAUUUCUUUAGUUAUUGAUAUAAAUAAAUAUAUUUGGUUCCAAAAUGAAUCUACAUGUGCAAUUACACUGACCAAGGAAUAAACCAUAAAUGGAACUACAGAAAUAUCAGAAUUAAUGAGUUUUUAUAAGCAUGUAUUCAUUCUAUUCUAAUUCAUAUAAGAAAUGAAGGCCUAAAAGGAUCAGUAACCUGUUCUAGUCAAACUUGAAUGAUUUUCAGAGUCACAACACAAGACUUCUGGUACUGUUUCAUAAUGAUAAAUCAAUAAUUUUGUAUAAUAUCUUAACAUAUUAUUUCCACACACAC
rnacentral:lncRNA from 1 species